rnacentral:rRNA from 1 species
GCACGCCGAGUCUGCCUUCGGGCAGGCGACACCCGCCUGUAGCUGGAAGGUUCCCCCGGGUCUCCGGGGGCAACGAUCAGCUGCUGCACGCCCGGGGCGUGCAGUUCACAGAUCAAACGCGGGUGGCCUGCGCCCGCAGGUUGAGAUAUGACCGUAGCAGCUCCGGCAGGAGCCUGGCAUGCUAGUUCCGUAGGUGAACCUGCGGAAGGAUCAUUA